CAAUAGCGUAUAUUAAUGUUGUUGCAGUUAAAAAGCUCGUAGUUGGAUUUCUGGUGGGAGCGGCCGGUCCGCCGUAAGGUGUGUACUUGGUUGUCUCCUGUCAUCCUUGUGGGAACUGCUCUGGCAUUAAGUUGUCGGGGUUAGGGAACACAUCGUUUACUGUGAAAAAAUUAGAGUGUUUAAAGCAGGCUUAUGCCGUUGAAUACAUUAGCAUGGAAUAAUAAGAUAGGACUUUGGCGUCUAUUUUGUUGGUUUGCACACCAAGGUAAUGAUUAAUAGGGAUAGUUGGGGGUAUUUAUAUUCCGAUGUCAGAGGUGAAAUUCUUAGAUUUUCGGAAGAUAAACUUAUGCGAAAGCAUUUACCAAGGAUGUUUUCAUUAA
rnacentral:rRNA from 1 species